rnacentral:rRNA from 1 species
UACGUAGGGGGCAAGCGUUGUCCGGAUUUAUUGGGCGUAAAGAGCUCGUAGGCGGUUUGGUAAGUCGGAUGUGAAAUCUCCAGGCUCAACCUGGAGGGGUCAUUCGAUACUGCCAUGACUAGAGUUCGGUAGGGGAGAAUGGAAUUCCCGGUGUAGCGGUGAAAUGCGCAGAUAUCGGGAGGAACACCGGUGGCGAAGGCGGUUCUCUGGGCCUUACCUGACGCUGAGGAGCGAAAGCGUGGGGAGCGAACAGG